rnacentral:rRNA from 1 species
GUGGGGAAUAUUGGACAAUGGGCGAAAGCCUGAUCCAGCCAUGCCGCGUGUGUGAAGAAGGCCUUUUGGUUGUAAAGCACUUUAAGCGAGGAGGAGGCGCCCUAGAUUAAUACUCUAGGAGCGUGGACGUUACUCGCAGAAUAAGCACCGGCUAACUCUGUGCCAGCAGCCGCGGUAAUACAGAGGGUGCGAGCGUUAAUCGGAUUUACUGGGCGUAAAGCGUACGUAGGCGGCUUUUUAAGUCGGAUGUGAAAUCCCUGAGCUUAACUUAGGAAUUGCAUUCGAUACUGGGAAGCUAGAGUAUGGGAGAGGAUGGUAGAAUUCCAGGUGUAGCGGUGAAAUGCGUAGAGAUCUGGAGGAAUACCGAUGGCGAAGGCAGCCAUCUGGCCUAAUACUGACGCUGAGGUACGAAAGCAUGGGGAGCAAACAGGAUUAGAAACCCUUGUAGUCC